UCGAGUCUCUGUUCUGUUUCCAGACAGAUUUUGAUUUAAUGAUAGAUUGCAUCCCCUGCCAGGAAAGAAAUUUCGUAAUGAAGCAAGUUAUCUGGGUAUAAAUAUAACCCAGCUGCUGAGCUGCAGUGUGGAGAACAGGAGGAGAGGACAGGCAGGACUUCAGAUUACUAAACCACAGCAAAGCACACAAAGCUCAUCACCAAAGUAGGAGUUGUGACAGGCACAGUUUUCCACUAAUUUAAAACACAAGGUGAGACCAGCAGUUCAUUUUGCCUCUGCAGCCAGAAUUGAAUUGCAGAAUCCAGAGACAAACAGCUGGUGCUCCACACUCGGGGCACGGUAUCCUCUCAAAAAGGUCCCAGGGACCACAGCCUUGCAGGGCAACUGAACAAGAACAAAGCCAAGAAAACGAAGGCAGAUCUUUCCUUCCACUUGCACAGAUUUUGACAUUAUUAGAGCAAAUCCCACGAUGAUGCAAGGAAAAAAAUCAGUAUUCUUCACCCGAGCAUCAGCAUCUUUACAUUUUAAGAGCAAUUAAAGGCGAAGCUGUCUGUGAGAUCA